UCUAAAGAAAUCAAAGAAACGUGUUUAAUACUUGUAUGUGAUUCAUGAAUAUUUAUUGUUGGAGAAAAAGAAAAAGUGUAAAAUUACGCACCGAAUUUCUAUAACUGAAUACGCAGUGAAACUCCUAAUUAAACACCCUGUUUAUAAAUAUUGAAAAUGAAUGCAUUCAAAAAUCAUCGCAUGAAAUCGAUUUAACUGACCCUCAAGGUCUGUGAAAGAAACACUUGUACUAAAGCAACAAAACCAACGACGACGCUAUCGUAGCAUGAAGCUGUACAAAUAAACGAAUUACAUUUUCAAUA